AACGCACGAGACCUGCGGACCUGCGGAGGGAUCAUUCACAAACAAGUGUUUAUGACACUUUUAAACAAUCCAUAUCCACCUUGUGUGCAACGUUUGAAUUCGAUCCGCACGCGCUCUCCUUUAAUGCGAAAGCGUGUGGGGAAGGAUUCUCAACACCAUUAACAUGUCUUGAACUAGUUUGUCUGAAUGAACGUAUCAUGAAUUACUUAAUUCGAAAUACAACUUUUAGCAAUGGAUCUC
rnacentral:misc_RNA from 1 species